rnacentral:rRNA from 1 species
GGCUCAGAUUGAACGCUGGCGGCAUGCCUUACACAUGCAAGUCGAACGGCAGCGCGGGGCAACCUGGCGGCGAGUGGCGAACGGGUGAGUAAUAUAUCGGAACGUACCCUGGAGUGGGGGAUAACGUAGCGAAAGUUACGCUAAUACCGCAUACGAUCUAAGGAUGAAAGUGGGGGAUCGCAAGACCUCAUGCUCCUGGAGCGGCCGAUAUCUGAUUAGCUAGUUGGUAGGGUAAAAGCCUACCAAGGCAUCGAUCAGUAGCUGGUCUGAGAGGACGGCCAGCCACACUGGAACUGAGACACGGUCCAGGCUCCUACGGGAGGCAGCAGUGGGGAAUUUUGGACAGUGGGCGCAAGCCUGAUCCAGCAAUGCCGCGUGAGUGAAGAAGGCCUUCGGGUUGUAGAGCUCUUUUGUCAGGGAAGAAACGGCCUGUUCUAAUACAGUGGGCUAAUGACGGUACCUGAAGAAUAAGCACCGGCUAACUACGUGCCAGCAGCCGCGGUAAUACGUAGGGUGCAAGCGUUAAUCGGAAUUACUGGGCGUAAAGCGUGCGCAGGCGGUUUUGUAAGUCUGUCGUGAAAUCCCCGGGCUCAACCUGGGAAUGGCGAUGGA